UACGAGGGGGGCGAGCGUUGUUCGGAAUUAUUGGGCGUAAAGGGCGCGUAGGCGGUCGGAUAAGUCUUGUGUGAAAUCUUCGGGCUCAACUCGAAGUCUGCACAGGAAACUAUCUGGCUUGAGUGUGGGAGAGGUGAGUGGAAUUCCUGGUGUAGCGGUGAAAUGCGUAGAUAUCAGGAGGAACACCUGUGGCGAAAGCGGCUCACUGGACCACAACUGACGCUGAGGCGCGAAAGCGUGGGGAGCGAACAGG
rnacentral:rRNA from 1 species